rnacentral:rRNA from 1 species
GUCUACAGCCAUGCCACCCUGAACAAACCUGAUCCUGUCUGAUCGCAAAAGCUAAGCAGGGUCAGGCCUGGUUAGUACUUGAAUGGGAGACCAUCUAGGAAGAACAGGUGCUGUAGGGA